rnacentral:rRNA from 1 species
AUGAAAUCAUUUUUAUGCAGCGCAAUGCUAGCAAAUGCAGAUGAGAACGGCGAGGCGCAUAUCGUGCCGUGCCGUGUUCUGAUGGGCCGGCCAGAGGCCAUCCCAGCCGGGUCCUCCAAGCUCCACCCCAGCAGUGACAAUUACGACAGUGCCGCCGACAACAUGCAGAACCCACAGUGGUAUGUUGUUUGGGGGCAAGGACAUGAACACGAGGAUCCUCCCAGAGUACGUCGUCAGCUUCAAGUUUCCCAUCCUCUAUCAGAUGCAAGGAUCAUCCGAAGCGACCGCCAUGCUAAAGAAGCCUUCGCCGGUGGCUCGUGA